rfam:Bhargavaea cecembensis DSE10 contig000002, whole genome shotgun sequence.
CCAUUCAGGUGAUCGCUGCAACUUCGGGUUGUAGAGGAAAGUCCAUGCUCGCACGGUUCUGAGAUGACCGUAGUGUUCGUGCCCGGCGAAGUCAUAAGCCGGGGCAGAUCCAUCCGGGUCUGACGGCGGGGAUAAUGCCUAAGUCCUUCGGGAUAUGGCAGAGAUCUCCUGAAAAGUGCCACAGUGACGUAGCCGCAUCGGAAACGGUGCGGGUGGAACGGGUAAACCCCUCGAGCGAGAAACCCAAAUUUUGGUAGGGGCGUCCUUCCGAAGGAAAUGAACGGAGGAAGGGACAGGCAGCCGCCUGUAGAUAGAUGAUUACCGCCGGAGUACGAGGCGCAAGCCGUCUGAGUACGAAGGAACAAAACAUGGCUUAUCGAA